rnacentral:rRNA from 1 species
GACAGAGGGUGCAAACGUUGUUCGGAAUUACUGGGCGUAAAGCGAGUGUAGGCGGUUUGGUAAGUCGGAUGUGAAAGCCCCGGGCUCAACCCGGGAAGUGCACUCGAUACUGCCAAGCUAGAGUAUCGGAGAGGUGAGUGGAAUUCCCAGUGUAGAGGUGAAAUUCGUAGAUAUUGGGAAGAACACCGGUGGCGAAGGCGGCUCACUGGCUCAUUACUGACGCUCAUGCGCGACAGCGUGGGGAUCAAACAGG